GUUUGAUAUAAUUUGAGAGGGGAGAGAAAAUCAUCCGAUUUAGAUUGGUUUGGUUUUAGUUUCAGAUUAAAUGGUUUGAUUUCGAUUCAAUUUUUGAAUUUAAACUGUGGUUAGGCUUAUAUAAAAGAGUUGAAUUGAAAUUUGCUGUGUGGACAAGAAUGCAAUGGCUUUGCUUCAAAUAAUAUCAAGAGAUGAAGGGGCUCUGAAUCAUUAAAAUAAUUAGGUUUUUGCUUGCUG
rnacentral:misc_RNA from 1 species